UACAGAGGGUGCAAACGUUGUUCGGAAUUACUGGGCGUAAAGCGCGCGUAGGCGGCCCGGUAAGUCCGUUGUGAAAGUCAAAGGCUCAACCUUUGAAUGCCGAUGGAUACUGCCGGGCUCGAGUCCGGAAGAGGCGAGUGGAAUUCCUGGUGUAGCGGUGGAAUGCGCAGAUAUCAGGAGGAACACCGAUAGCGAAGGCAGCUCGCUGGGACGGUACUGACGCUAAGGCGCGAAAGCGUGGGGAGCGAACAGG
rnacentral:rRNA from 1 species